rnacentral:rRNA from 1 species
UAGGGAAUCUUCCACAAUGGACGCAAGUCUGAUGGAGCAACGCCGCGUGAGUGAAGAAGGUUUUCGGACCGUAAAGCUCUGUUGUUGGUGAAGAAGGAUAGAGGUAGUAACUGGCCUUUAUUUGACGGUAAUCAACCAGAAAGUCACGGCUAACUACGUGCCAGCAGCCGCGGUAAUACGUAGGUGGCAAGCGUUGUCCGGAUUUAUUGGGCGUAAAGCGAGCGCAGGCGGAAGAAUAAGUCUGAUGUGAAAGCCCCUCGGCUUAACC